AAAACUCAACACGAAAAUGGCUCAUUUGACGCUGCUGGCGCAGGGAGACGUUUCUCCCCCACUCAAUCGGAUAGGGUAUGAACUUUGGCAGCGCCACCAUGCCGAUUUGGACGACAAUAUCAAGUUUUAGAAAUGGACAGAGGGGACCAGUACCAUCGAAUAAUGCAGUCCCUGUCUAUGAGGAGGACACUGAUGGCAAAUGAGCUGCGGGUCAUUGCCGCACAAGUCCUGUAGGAUGAGGAAGACAAUGAAGACAUGGCCUUCUUAAAGGAAGAUACCCUAUGAUGCGGAGCUACUCUGAGAAGAGUAAUGAGAUCAAGGAGCCAGAGGAAGUGGAGCCACCAGCUGAGGCCUCUCAGCCAAGCUCUUCAACUGGAAGGUAACUAUAGAUGUGUUAUUGUUAGAUUUAUCAGGCCCGAUAAUAGAUAUCUAAAGGACAGUUUUUUUUUUAAAUAUAUUGAGCAUACUAACAAUUUAUUUAUUUUCUCUCGUCUUGUCUCUUAAGUCUUUCUGUUCGUGCUCCACUUCCCGUUAGCGUAAAUGCUCUGUCUUGCCCGAUAGCAUGUUUCAGUCCUAUGGUGAUGUUGAUACAGAGGCACCAGAGUCCAUCUCUUUCAGGCCUGAACAUCCAGCAGGUUUAAGUCUUGGCAGUGUACGUCAGGCAGUUCGGUCGACGGCUCAGGAUAGACUAAGGGCGAUAGACUUCUUCUUCUUCUUGUUUUUCAUGCAGGUGGUGGUGGUUUGUGGGUUCCCAAAUAGUCACGGUUGGGGUCUUGUUUUGGGAGUGCCCGUUGUAUGGUGAUUCCGUCAAAGCAUGGCUUGAGGUUUCUUGGACUGCUCGUUUACAUGGGAUUUACCGAACUGCCGGACCUUCAUCGGUACUGGGGUGCAAAGUCUCUUCAGGGCUCUCUUGGGCUAGAGCUUUAAUGUUGCGUAAUCGCUUCAAAGCUCUGUUGGCUGCUUUACACGUUGUGGAUCCUGCCACUGAGGAUAAUGCAGAUAGGCUUAUAAAACUGCAGUCCUUUCCUGGACCACCUGAAACAGACCUGUAAAAAGCCAAAGCGAAGUGUAGACCUAGAUGAGUGCAUGUUCAAAUCAAAGGGGCGAUCAGGAUUCAAGCAGUAUUUGAAAGGGUGGCCAACUAGGUGGGGAAUUUAGAUGAUGGGUCAUUGCUUCAUCUGACACAGGCUACACUUCAGGUUUUAAAGGUUUACAUAUGGGGAUAUGUGUUGGCGUAGGAUAGGGGGCAAUGUAUUUGCCAUGCAGUAGAGAGACACACGUACUGUUACUUGCCUUCCCAAUUUUUCCCAAUGUAAAUGAUUCCAGUCAAGUAUAGGAAGGUGGUCCGCCAGCCUCCUGUAAUCCACGAUUACAACAGACAUAUGGGAGGGGUUGACAGGUUUGAUAAGUUCAAAUUUGAUCUGUUGAUCAACUCCUCCAUUGUUUAGCAGAACACCCAGAAGUGGUGGGAAACACCCCCACCCCCACUGUGUUGAUAUUGCAGUCAUCAACAGUUAACUUUUGUUGCAGGAUUGGUAGCGUAAUCACGCAGCACCUGGCAAGGCAAAUGAGCAAAUUGGUUACUGCCAGAUUGCGUUCAGAGACGCUUUCUCAUCAGUCAGGAGGUAAUUGUGUUAAUGACCGGUAUCUUUUGACAGACCUUUGUCUGUGAAAACUGUAAGCUCAUCUUUUCACACACAGCACGUGCCCAGUCUACAGGCGCCCUCUAUAAAUUGCUGGCUAUGUUUCUUGUGUCACAGGAAAGAUAAAAGAGAACACGACCCGGUUUGUUUGUGUGGCAUAUGAUUUUGCAUCGUGGAGGACCGACAUUGUUUUAGGUUGUGGCACUCAUCUGAGUUUGACUAAUAGCAGAAAUGGGCACUAGUAAAGGGACUCGGAUGUAGCCCAGAUGUUCACUAGUAAUUUUGCCUCUCUUGCAUGUUUCCUUUUCCUGCAUGUCCCUUCACCUGCAUGUCCUUUCUUCCUUGGAUGUUUUCCCAGUCUUUUCUGAGACAUCCUGCAUGCCAGCCUCCCUUUAUGUUUCAUUCAUGAUUCUAAUGGCCUUGGGGAUGUAAAGGACUUGUAAAUUGUAAUGAGUGUAAAAUAAUGUUGCGCUUUUGGAAUUGUUCCUGUACUGACUAUUUGUGUAAUAGAGUAAAUGCUAGUUGAAUGUAGAAAUGGAAGUUGUAAAAGCUAAUAAUUAUUGUUAAAUGCCUUAUUUGUUCAUAUUUUGUCAUUCCAGUUCAAUUCUGAUGAAAGUAGCCCUGAAAUGAAUGUUGUGUUAUGGUUAUGAUAGCGGUUUUAAAUGGCUUUAUUUUCAGGUUUGAAUGAGAUAAUGUAUUCUGCUAAGAUUAUUCUUUCAAUAAAGUUCUUGUUUUAUUAAUAUUA